rnacentral:rRNA from 1 species
ACAGCAGUAGCCGCGGGAAUACGUAGGUGGCAAGCGUUGUCCGGAAUUAUUGGGCGUAAAGGGCUCGCAGGCGGUUUCUUAAGUCUGAUGUGAAAGCCCCCGGCUCAACCGGGGAGGGACAUUGGAAACUGGGAAACUUGAGUGCAGAAGAGGAGAGUGGAAUUCCACGUGUAGCGGUGAAAUGCGUAGAGAUGUGGAGGAACACCAGUGGCGAAGGCGACUCUCUGGUCUGUAACUGACGCUGAGGAGCGAAAGCGUGGGGAGCGAACAGGAUUAGAUACCCCAGUAGUCCCUGUCUCUUAUAA